rnacentral:lncRNA from 1 species
GGUGAUAGCCCACCAGACUUGAAUUCAGUCUCACGUUCGCCAUCUAGGAGCUGGGUAACCUUGACAAGUUUCUUAAACUGAAUCUCAAUUCUCUUAUGCAUAAAAGUGGAUUUUGAGGAUUCAGUGAGGUAGGGCUUCUCUGAUUCAUAAUACCAGACCACGUGGGAGCUGCGGCCUUUGCCUACGGCUUGUUCACAGAGGCUGAAGAGGGAAACUGUCUUUGAGAACAAGCCCCAACAACACCUGGAGCAGUGAGUAAACUAACCUGGAAACGCUGACCCGUGGCUUUCCUUGGUGAAAAUGUGCCUGGUUUAUCCCCUGGAGCCACUCCCACCACUAGCUGUUCUGCAUAUGAAUUUGGGACCAUGUUUUUCUUCACACUUGGCUGGGAGCCUGAUUAUCUGAACCAUAACUAGGAGACAUGGGCAUUCUGAACAUCAAGACAGAACUGCUGAUAGAAACGGCAGAGCCCUUGCUGUUGGUUUUCUAAGUGCAGCAAGUUUCUGUGAUCCCAGGGGGAGUCUGGUCUGCCUUGGGGGUCCCGCUGGGGACAGAGUGGGCUCUAACCUGGAGGCACCAACCUGAACCUGGCUGACACUUAAGCUGACAAAACUUCAGCAGAGACGCAGGAACCAUCACUUCAGAAGCGCCGGGGCCUUUGAACUGAGGCUAGGCGGCUGGCCUAGAAAGUGGAGCAGGCACGCAGGCAGUCCUAACGAGGCGGGCUGGGGGGUCAAAGCCUUAUUUGCGUUCAUUUCACUCAUUAUUAUGUGGCAUUAGGGAAAUUUUCGGCUGAGCAGAGUGCCCUUGACAUGUAACUUCCUGUGCUCUCU